CUGGAACUAAAAGGAGACUGCCAGUUAUAAACUGGAGGAAGGUGGGGUGAAGUCAAGUCAUCAUGGCCCUUUGGGGUAGGGGUACACACGUGUUACAAUGGCACAUACUAAGAGAAGCGACCGGCGAGAGCAACGGACCUCAUAAAGUAGUUGUAGUUCGGAUUGAACUGGAACCGACUCCAUGAAGUCGGAAUCGUUAGUGUCGUGGAUCAGAAUGCCAGGGUGAAUACGUUCCCGGGCCUUGUACACACCGCCCGUCACACCAUGGGAGUGGGUUGCAAAAGAAGUAGGUAGCCUUACACUUUUUUUUGGA
rnacentral:rRNA from 1 species